rnacentral:tRNA from 1 species
GGUCCUGUAGCUCAGGGGUCAGAGCUCCGGGCUUACAUCCCGGGUAAGUCGUAGGUUCGAAUCCUACCAGGACCACCA